rnacentral:rRNA from 1 species
UACGUAGGGGGCAAGCGUUGUCCGGAAUCAUUGGGCGUAAAGAGCGUGUAGGCGGCCUGAUAAGUCGGCUGUGAAAGUCAAGGGCUCAACCCUUGAAUGCCGGCCGAUACUGUCAGGCUAGAGUCCGGAAGAGGCGAGUGGAAUUCCUGGUGUAGCGGUGAAAUGCGCAGAUAUCAGGAGGAACACGUGUGGCGAAGGCAGCUCGCUGGGACGGUACUGACGCUGAGACGCGAAAGCGUGGGGAGCGAACAGG